CCUUGUGUCAAAGCUGAGGGGAGGAGAGACUUUGAGCCGUUGUGGUCAAACUUUAAGCCAUACCAGUGGAACGACGUUUUGUGCACUGCCAAGCGGUCGUACUUCUGCGAGGACAAAACAGAUUCUACAGAAUCCAACAUUGCUCCUGGGGACCCAUGGCUUAAGGUAACGUGGCACGAAGCGAGAAAAAAUUGUGAUUCUAUUGGAAAGAGACUCGUCGUAUUAAAAACUAAGGAAAAGAUACAAAGAUUUAAAGAAGCUGCUGUAAAUAUCUUUAGGAGCAAAGGAGAAUCUCCAAGUUCGACCUGGAUAGGACUAGCAGACUGGAUAGCAGACUGGGAGUGGGAGGGUCGCUUUACAUGGGUGACUGGUCAACCUCUGAGG